rnacentral:lncRNA from 13 species
GGGCAGAUGAAGGAAUGUGAUGAUAGAAGGUUGUUGCUCUGAUUGAGACUUACAUAAAUUUCACUGUUUCCUGGGAAAUAACAGGGGAAAAGGAACAAAACACUGACCAGACUCACACUUCACUGAGAGGGAAAGAAGCAAAUGGCAAUUAUAAAAGCUAGUAGACACGAAGGAAAAGGAGAGCGGAAGAAGGAGGGAGGGUGUGGAGUUCCGUGUGGUUCUUGAAUGUGCUGGUGUUGGAGUAGAGCUGGGUGGGGGUUCAAGUCCCUUUUUAGCACUCACUGUUAUUGAGGACAAGCAGCUAGCUGCCUUCCGUAACACAGACACUGCAUCAAUGAAAUGAAAUAACAGAAGAUAUACCUCAGCAGACUGCAGGAACAGAAGAUGUGUCGCGUAUUUGGUGCACAGCUGAAUACAGAAAAACUUUCAAAAUCUGGGGGUAGAAAUAGAGGGAAAGCUUUGAGAAAAUUUUCACCAAUUCAGAAGCUAAGAAGAGACUCCGGCAAGUGAUUUCAAGACUCUCUGGCCCCCGCUGCUUGCUGCUUUCCUGCCGGGGCCGCAGGGACACCAUGCUCAUCGCCCCUCCCAGCUCUGCUGGAUCUUCAGCUUGGUUCCCACACUGCUCUCCAACACCUGCCGUUGCUUUACUGGACGGGUUCCCGCUCACCUUUCAGGUUUCGUCUUGGCUUUCAUUUUCUGAGACUCACAACGCCUGUCUAAUCAUGAGGAAAACAGCAGACAAACCCAGAAUGAGAGGCAUUCUGCAAAAUUCAUGAUCAGUACUCCUCAAUGUCAAGGUCAGCAAAAACAAGGCAAGUCUGAGAAACUGUAGCAGAGCAGAGAAGACAAAGGAGAGGUGAUGGUUAAAUAUAACAUGGUGUCCUGGGAGAGAAGAAGAACACUAAGGAAAAACGAAAGAAAUCUGAAUAAAAAAUACAGAGUUUAACA